rnacentral:rRNA from 1 species
UACGUAGGGUGCAAGCGUUGCCCGGAUUUAUUGGGCGUAAAGGGCGCGCAGGCGGCUACGCACGUCCGUUGUGAAAUCGCUCGGCUCAACUGGGCGGGGUCGGCGGAUACGGCGUAGCUGGAGCAAGCUAGGGGGCAAUGGAAUUCCCGGUGUAGUGGUGGAAUGCGUAGAUAUCGGGAGGAACACCAGUGGCGAAGGCGGUUGCCUGGAGCUUUGCUGACGCUGAGGCGCGAAAGCGUGGGGAGCGAGCCGG